rnacentral:lncRNA from 1 species
UUUUUUUUUUUUUUUUUUUUUACAUAUCCAUACAGCGAUCGACAAUCUGAUUAACCUUUUGCUGCUAAAUUUCAGGGCACUUUUGUGGCAUCGAUUGAUGGGGAAAAAUGUUCUUGCUACCACAUAUGAGGGCUUCCCUUAUUUGCGUGUGUAUUCUCAUUGCUCAAAGACUAGCGUAAGAUCAUGUUUCACUUUCAGCACUUAGCAUUCCAACAUCAUAUUUUUUUAUAGAGCAUUCACAUAAUUUCAAGUUUCUAUUACUUGCUUCACCAGUUGUUUCUCAUCUUCUACUCACAUUUACUUCUGUUUUUUGCAGUCUGGCAUUGCAGUCCUGAUAAUGAACAUUUCAAAUUCGACCCGUUUUGAAGUUUCAAUUGUGAAUGACUACAAUAUGGGCGGCAAAUUUGAAGUUGGACAACAAAGAGAAGAGUACCACUUGACUCCAAAAGAUGGAAACAUCCAGAGUGAUGUAUUGCUGUUAAACGGGACUCCACUGAAGCUCACAGAGGCAUCUGAUAUCCCAGCUCUAGAACCGCAAAUAGUUGAUGCUUCUAAGCCUAUUACUGUUGUACCUCAUUCAUUUGUCUUUGUCAAUUUGCGAGGCUUUAAUGCCCCAGUUUGUGCAUAGAACUGAGGAUGUGCAUUUGCCUUAUUAAAGAUUUAAUCACUUUGGUCAUGCAAGAUCUCGUUAAAUAUGAGUUUGUUCAGUAUCCAGUGCGGAGAACUAAUCCAAGCUAGUUGUAGCCAGAGUUUCCUCUUGUUUAGUUAACUUCUUUUUCAUUCUGAUUCAUCACAGAUUUAGAAUGCAAGUUACAGCCAGUUUUCUAUCCUUUGAUUAGGCCUGUCAAUCGGACCUAAUGAGCAGGGGCUUUCAUAAGUUCAAACUCAAUUCAUUUAAUUUGUAACAUUUUCAGGUUUGGGUUAUGAGUUUCGGAUUAAUAAACGUGAAAUUUAUACUCAACUCAUAUAACAUUCGGGUUGUGAGCCUUAUUCAGAUUUAGGCCAAACUCACUUAUAUAUUACUCCAUAAUUUUCUUAACAUAAUUACUAUAACUAUUAAAUUGUAAAACUAAUUUAACAUUUACAAGACUACAACAUGAAAACUAAAUAUGAACAAGUAAUAGUUCUUAAUAUAGACCAAAAAUUUUCAAUAAUACUUAUAUCUAAUUCGUUCAAAAUAUAUGAAAAAUAGUAAUAAAACAUGCGGUUAUAAACCAAUACAUCUUCCAAAGUUGGAACUUCUUUAUAGUCUUGUGAUUUGAAUCCAAAUACGCUUGAUGAUUUGUAUUUAUAGACCAAAAAAAAAAUCAACCAAUAUUAUACCAACACAAAAAUUUACUCAACCAAUAAAAAAAGUUAGAAAUUCAGUUAUGCAUUACUAACAUUAUAUCUCAAGAAAGCUCGUAGAAGAAUUUUCAGAUGUAUGUUUGUGUUUUAAAAUUUGUAUAUAUUUAGUAUUUAGUAAUAAUAUAUUUGGAUAUAUAAUUAUAUAUAAUAUCAAAAUAUAAAUAUUAUAUAUAUAGGGUCCGGCCUAUAUCGGGUUUGAACCUAAUGAAACCCAAGUUCGAUUCAUAUUUAAUUCAGACCUAAUUUUUAAGCUCAAAUUCAGACUAGUUCACUAAAAGGUCAGGCUCAUCGAACUUUUUCUCGAGUCGAACGAGUCGAGUUCAGACUGACUCGACCCCAUUGACAGUCCUACCUUUGAUGUCGACUUGGUUUUCUCUUUUUAGUCAUACUAGUACUAUUCAAACAUUAUGCUUAAGAGCAAUGUUAUUAAACUCCGAUCGGAUAGCGACUCGACUAAAUUACUGGGUCAAAAGUCAAUUGAUCCAAUCGAUCCUACCGUUCUAAAAAACUCGCUAAUGUCGGCAUGAUGUCAUAAUUAUUUUAUGUUUUAUAUUGAAAUUAAGUUCUUGGUUACAUUCGACGAACUAUAGAAAAUGUUUCAAAAAUAUUAAACUUGCGAUCAAAUAUACACCGAGUAAUUAUAUAUAAAAAUGUAAAUUCAUGGAUUAAAUAUGUCUAUUCUCCAAAACUAUUUGAAAAACUAAAUUAAAGCAAAUUAAUGCAAGUUGGAAUCACUGAUGCUAAAUUGAUAAAAUCAUAGGAAUGAAAACAUUUUGAUUUAGAGAUUAUUCAAGAAAACAAGUUAUUUUAGUAUUUACACUAAGUGGAUGGCGUUUUCUUAUUCUUAUUAAUAAAUGAAAGUGUUACAAUUUAAGUAAUUCAAAUUAUUUUUGGGGAAAAGAAGAAAGAAAAGUUUGAAAAUCGGGUCAACCAAUCAAACUGGAUCACUGAUUUAACCGAUUUUUUAUCAUAGCGAUUUUGUGUUACAAACCAACUUGAAAAAAGAUCGAUUCACAAUCGGACCGGUUGAACCGGCCGAUCUGGUCCGGGUCUAAUAACACCAUUUAAGAGGAGAUAUCAUAGGAACCCAACAAAUCAUGUAUCCGAAUUUACCCCAACUUUCAGUUUUGGCACCCAAAUUUGGCUGAAAAGGAAUAUGAGUAAGAAAGAAGAUAAUGGCUAGUGCCUCUGAAAAUGGAAAGGAAGCAUCUCGGCCCCUUGAAGCAAAAUCACAUGACAUGGAAAAGAUUCUUGGAAGAAUUUUUUUUGCAAUUCUUUUCUUCCAGCUUUUGACCCGAGACUUUGAGAGGUAAAAGGCUUAAAAAGUUUUUAAUUGUCUAGCUAGAAAGGGUUUGAUAAAAGUUUAAUUGUCUAGCUAGAAAUGGUUUGAUAAAAAUUUAGUUGUCUAGCUAGAAUGGAUUUGAAAAAUUGCAAGAAGCAAGGAAUGCCUUCAUGGUGAGGCAUGCCAUCGUUGUUUAACAUCCAAAACCAGUCUUUGAAUGGAAAUGUAUUAAACUUUGCUCGUCUCCUCGCCCCUGAAGAGCCUGUAUUCAACUCUUUUAACUUAUAAAACUUUUCUCUUUCCUUUGCUUCUCCUUUCAAAUAAGUGCCAAGGCAUGAAGCAAUCAAACAAAAGUCUCAGAGAUGUACUGAAUUUUGUAAUCGCCGGUUGCGACACCACAAACACAACUCUUUCUUGGGCUAUAUACAUGACAAUGACUCAUGAAGAUGUAGCAGAGAAAGAUUUACACAGAACUAAAAAAAACUAGAGGAAUCCAGGGCAAAAGAAGAAAACAUCACAUUGCACAAAGGAGAGAUGAUUCUGAUUCUGAUUCUGAAUCAUUCAGUAAGAGCGUAAUGUAAUUUGCAGGACUCCUCAAUUAUGAGUUCUCAGGCAGGCUAAUUUACUUGCAUGCUGUGAUCAGAGAAACACUAGUCGAUUAUAUCCAGCUAUUCCUAAGCUUAGCCCACUUCUAAAUUUGGUCAGUGUAGACCGAGAAAAUCAUGGUCUAUUUUCCUUAUCAAUAUAUGCAGGAUCCCAAGGGCAUCCUGGAAGAUGAAAUUUUACUAAAUGGAGCCAAACUAAAUGCAGGAGGAAUGGUAAGGGCGCAAUUUACUUCUAUAGUCUAUGACUAUUUUCGCUGACAAAAAUUAACCAAAAGCUUUACAUUCAUCAUGGCUUAUCCCUAAACAUUUAUAAGCAUAAACAAUAAGAGUUCAAAAAAUCCUUUUAGUCUCUUAUAUCAUUUGAUUGUUACCUGUCACCUGCAGGCUAAGCCGAGAAUAUAUAUGCCUUGGGAAGGAUUCAGCAUAUUUACAGAUGAAGUUGGCACUGGCCAUCUUAUGCGGAUUCUACAGAUUCGAACUGGUGCCAGGGCACGUUGUGAAGUAUGGGAUGAUGACGAUCCUAUCCAAGGAACAUGGAUUAAAAGUUUCAGUUUCAAGAAAAGCUGAAGCAAAAACUUUCUAUCACUUAUAGCAUCCAAAGUCGAAGCAAAAACUAUCAGCACUCGACAGAAUUACCGACAAUUUAUUGAAUAUUUUACUGUCAGCCCAUGAUUCUACAGACCUUUUCUUGAUACAAAAGUUGCAAUGGGCAUAAUCGACUUAUUUAAAUUCCCAAAUAGUAUAAUUUAAGGUUACAACAUGCCAUAUCUGAAUUCUCACGCAAUAAUAGUUAAAGUUGCACCGAGUCAACUAAUUUUGCACUGGACAGGUAUCUUUCAAAUGUUUUGAGUUUUUCAGUUCAAGCCAUGGUUGUAAUUUGGUUAAGCAUGUACAAGGUUCAAUAUCAUCCAGUAUAUCAUAUAGUACGAAAUAAGUCUUUUUCGAAUGAUUUGUAACUCUUUGUUAAGCUGUAUAAUUUCGUAAUAUAAGCACAAUUAUUAUACAUAGGUCUCAUAUGAACAGCAACAGAAUAGGUAUUGUAAAAUCGUACAAAAUAUUAAUAAAACUUACUUUAAAAUUGUACAAAUUAUUAUAACUUAUUCAAACGAUGUUAUACUGUUCAGGAUCAGUCGUAUAUAGACAACUGUUGCUGCCCAUUGGCUGUAUAUAAAGCACAUUUGGCCACCGAACAAAUCAUCAGAAUUGCUAGACAAUAGCAUAGGUGUCUAUCUUUUAGAUUCUUGGGUUGAGACUUGAGACGUGAAAUACCUAAAUGGAAACCAUACAAUCUUCUGCAGGCUAGAAAAAAGUUCGAUUAUUUACUAUUAGAAGUAAGGAAUGCCUUUCUUGAUAGUUUAACAUCCAAAGCCAGACUUUCAGUGGAAAGGCAUCCAACUUUGCACCCCUCCGAAGCCUACAUUCAGCUGUUCGAAUAAGAAUACUUUUCUCUUUCUUUUGCUUGUCCUUCAAAUAAGCGCCAAGGCAUGAAACGAUCAAAUUCAUUUCUCCCGUAACUCGCUUCAGAUUUGGUGCUGUUGCAAAGAAUGGAUAUCUUGUUCAAGCAGUUGAGGUAACUUUGAGUAUACGAUCAUGCAUGCAAGCACUCAUGUAUCGGCAUGUUCUUUGAGAAAGUGUUGUUUUUAAACAGAGUUGUUAAAUAAGAGAGCAAACUAUCAAGACUUGAUAACUUGAUCUUCUCUUGUAUUUAAAUGAUCUGUCUGUUUCUGAACUCUACGAUCAUGUAUUGCACCUUACGUGUAUUAGCCAUCUCUCCUGGCGUUGCUGACUUGGAACUUCUUGACUAGGACGAAAUAUCCUAAUUUACCCCGGGGAAGCAAAGAAGGCAGCAGCUCGACAGCAAAAGAUGGCACAACGCCACCCCAGAAAACUCAAUCGUUCAAAGGAGGUAUAUCUUGAAAUCAAAUCCGUCCGUAUUUUUCUCAAUUAUGAGAGUUCCUAUUUUAUAUUCAGUUCUUUCUUUUCCCUCUUUUGCUUUCUGUUCAAUAGUUUUGGAACUUGAAAAAUAAGAAAACUAUUUGAGUUGAAAAUGACUCCUUUCUGUUGUGAAGACAAAAAUGACCCAUCUGGGAAUUUUGAAAGCAAAAUUAGAGGGAAAGGAAUCGCUGGUGUAUUAUGCUACAGUAAUAACUCAACCAACCGAGUCUUGCAGAGAGAAAAAGAAGUCAGAGCUGGUUGCGGAGGCAGUUUUCUCGAUCGAUGAGCAGAGGCAAUGAGUCAGCCAACGAAGAGGAGUAUCAUACUGCAGUUGCAGCAGCUGCCUUUGCUGUUAAAUCUCAUGAAGAAUCAAGAACAAGAGAUGAGAGAAGGGGACUUAGCAUUCGAGAUGCAGCCCUUCCUCAGAUCAAGAGCAGCACAGAAGACAAAGCUCCUGUGCCUGACAGUCGCACAAAAUCCAUAAAAUUCUCAGGUGGGUUGGAAGACAUUAGGGGAAAACUAAAGGGUACAAUAUUUGCAACGUAAAAGAUUUGAGUACCAAGAAUGUUUUUACUUACGGAGGCAAGAUUCAGGACUAAAUUUGUGUGAAUUUAAGGGGAAAGAGUAUCUCCUACCAUUCCUUAACUAUGUCUUGUGCAACAGGUGAAGUUGCAAUGCCAAACUUGGAUGAUCCUGACAGGAGGGUUCAGAUAAGCACAGAAGCAAGUGAAAAAAUGCCCGAAAAAGCAGUUGUCCCUGUCCCACCAAUCAAGAAGAAGCUGUCCUUUGCGGAUACUCAACCUGAAGCUGCAUUGCCUGGCAGGGAGGCCAUUAAACCCACUAAAAAAGCUUCAAGUUUCGACAGAACAUUCAGUAGAAAGCCAGAGAUCAAAGAGCCAAAGCUGGAAGUUCCUGCACCUGUUCUGCCACCAUUUCUACCUGGUGACACCACCAUUAGGCAGAGUCCAAAGAAGCCAGGAAAAGGAGAUACUCGGGCAGAUGUUUGGGAGGAGGACGAAAUGGCUAGGAUAAAUGAAAAGUAUGUAAAUCAUUUCUUCUAAUUAAUAGGAAAAGAAAAGGAAAAAAAAAAAGAAGAAAAAGAAAUUAACUCCAUCUUUAGAGUACCUUGGGAAGUUCCUUUAAUAGGUAUCCAUUUAGAUAGGUAUCAGUUUGUCAGCUAAUAAACCUUUUCAGGUAUGAGAAGAAGAGGGUCAAAAUUCUCGAGUUGGAGGAGGAGGAGAAGAAGGCGGCAAAACGUCGAUUAGAAAGAACAGAGGUUCUAAUUUCAGUCCAACACCUAUUUUGCCAGAAAACAAGUAAUACUGAUGAAAUGGAUCUAAGCUAUGAACUAAAAUGUUUCAGGCUGAAUUGGACAAAAGAAGAGCGAGAGCAACGCACCACUACCGUAGUGAACUUGAGAGAAUUGAAAGCAUUGCCAGAGGAGCAAGGUCUCAUGCUACAGAAAAUCAAAGAUAUGAAGAGUCCAAGGUGAAAGAAAAAGCAAGCAAGUUCAGAAUGACAGGAAAACUUCCGGCAGCAUUUUGGUGCUUCUAAAGAUUUAGCACUAAAAAUUUAACACAGCAACUGAAUAUUCUUUGGACAAAGUUUCUAACGAUUGAUCUAUAUUUCACAUCCUUUUAUUUUCUUAUGAAAUUGUGUGAAUCCUGGGCUUGGAUUCUUAUGUUUACCUGUUCAUCAGUGAGUAUAUUCGUUUUUGGUCAUAUACAAAACUUCAAAGACAUGGAAUUUACAGUGGCAAUGUAUAUGAACGCUGAAUACUGAUUCGUUUCUUUGUUGGCAAUUAUAGCGAUAACUUAGUUCGAGAAUGGAAAACUCUAAAAUUUGUUAUCAGCAUUACACAAGUGUCCUGUCUGUCAAAGAAAAUAAGGAAACUCUGGAUGUAUAACUUAAAAUAUAUACAUAUAUAUAUAUACACAUAUAUAUACAAUGUACUUUACCAACACUACGGGAUCACCAUUAUGGGGUAAGAACAGCAAGAUAUGGCAAAUGCUUGGAUGAAGGUAAAAGGUCCACAAGGAAUGGCUGUCCAAUCCAGAAAAGAUCAUCUACCAAAUGCUGAGUUAUUUUUUGAUAACCAAGGAGACAUUUGGUAUUAUAAAUCUCAAGCACAUCCACUACGAACCAACAGAAAGAAACUUUUGGGGGGGGGGGGGGGGUGUUUAACUCCUUACCAAGCAGCUGCAUCCGAAAUGUCUUUUGCGUAUGUCCUCUGAUCAAUAAUCCUUCAUGUGAUCAAUAUCCACUAUGCUAUCCGACUAAAUAUCUUCUGUAAGAAUGGCAGAAAGAAAGUUUUCGCAACUCCAUCCCUAGUAUAUUACAUCAGAAAUGUCUUUUGCAUAUGUCCUCUUAUGAAAAACUCUUUUUCUGAUCACUACCCACCAUUAUAGUGGGGGCAAUGGGGAAGAAGUCCUUGAAUUAAAUCAGUCGGUUCAAAUGUUCAACAGAAAAAUCGGCCUCAACCCACUGUUGUCCAACUCAUUAUAGGAAUAGAAAUAUCGAGUCAAGAAACGGGUUCCUCACUUUCCUUUUAAACAGGAACCAACCAAUAUCAUAUCUAAAAUUACACAAUAAAAACUCUUCAGAAAAUCCCUUCAUUACACAAACAACAGAUAUUUCCAGCACCCAACACUAAACUCAAAUCCAAGCAAAGACUCUGAUAAGCCUACACAUAAUGGGCAGAAGACACAUUAACAAACAGCCAUGGCAGUAUGGAAUUACACAAUCAAAGAAACAAACUAAGCAAAAGAGUUCCAUAAACAACAGAAGGAUUGAUAAAUAAAAAUCAUGAGGUAAUUUCUCUUGCCAGCCAAUCCAAAGCAGGAUACGCAAAAUAUAACACUAGAAAAGCUGGAAGAGCGAAGACAAUUGUGAUCAGCAGGUAAAGCAUCAGGAUGGCAGCACUAGAGGGUAAUGCAAAUAGAACAAUCAGAAGGAAAACGAUGACCAAUGGAAACUUUGCCGAAAACUGAAGGAAGUAAUCUAGAGAUUUUUGAAAGGAAAACUGGGGCCUUUCCAGAUUGUUGGUGUUGCCCACAGGAUCAUCAUUGCUGUUAGACCCUGAAAUGCCCAGACGGUGGAACCUUCUAUGCACAAUAUUGGAUGUGGGAUUUCCCAUCACUGAAGUACAUCUUGGAGACCAUACCUGAGGAUCUGCACAAAUGGAGGAAGAGGUCUUCACCCUGUCACCAUUUCUGCUUUCAACCAUCCAAAGGAGAAAGAAAUUUUUGCUGGGAAAUUUCAGAUUCCCCUUAUAAAUCAGUCGAAAUGUCAACAGAUUGCACCACGGGCAGGAAAUGAACAAUGGAAUCUGAAUCUGUUGAGUGGAGAAUUUCAAAGCAGCCCACUUAAGUCCUAGGACACAAUUCUUGCAUAGCGUGUGGCCACACCAUAAGACAUAAGGAACAUUCUCCACAAUGUUAAAAGACUCCCAGCAUAUUGGACAUUCCAGCCCUUCUUCAGCACUGGAAUUGGAACAGACCUCAUCAUCUGAGGAAUCUUCUAUGCAUACCAGACUCUCACUCGAAGUAACCUUCUUCUGCCCAAAGCUUCCAAAGGCAUUUGCAAGAGAUUUCCACAUAAUGGCAAAACGCAACCCUGACAGAUGAUAAGUAAUUACUAUCAAAGGCUUCUACUGUAAAAUGAGGCAAAAUCCAUAAUUUCUAAGUAGAAAAUAUGGAUCAGAUCCUAGCAAUAGACCUGCACCACAAAGUCAACCACUUAUUACGUAGACAAGAGUGGCUCUCCCCAUGCUUCUUCAAGCAAACAUGCAACAAAUGCCAGAGCAAAGAGUGACUACUAAAAAGUUUCUCGUAAUAUAAAAAACAAAUUUUACAAGUAGGAAAAAGCCUGCACAAAUGACCGGAAAUUGACUGCAAAACAGCAAAUGCAACAUCAUUUACGAGUUGAUCACUAAGAUGGUAAAUAAUGAGCACAUUUACAAGGAAAGACAAGUUUUUUGAGUUAAAAGUCAACGUAAAAAGACUUCCAUGAUUUUGCUACCAUACAUCUUGUACAAUUUUCAGAUAACAUAGAAUACAAACCUACUAAUUUUACUUUCACACACUUGUGAUACACAAUAAAAUAAACCUAUCAGAGCUUGCAAGUAGAACAAGCUAGUCUACAACUUCUUCUUUCGUAUCUUAAGGUAAGAUAAAUGAAACUAAGGCCUAAAACUUAAAUCAAAACAAUACAACUCAAGGUCAAAUAAUACCUUCACAAGGCAAUUUGACAUGUAAAAAUAUUAGUAAACCAUCAUGGGAAGGCCAAAGGAUAAACUUGUUUUAAUAACUCAAAGUAUUUCUUCGCUGUGACAGAACUAAUGAAUUAUGAUUGUGCAACAAAAAUCUAUAGCCAUACCGAUACUCGACUCGUAAUGUCCAAAUGCAUCUUAAUUAUGUCAAUGGCUUCAAACAUGGGCUCUGCUAAAGAUUCAUAAUUCGAGGUACUGUUUUCUCUCCGUACUAUGUCUUCGUAGGCUUACAAUAAUCAAUCCAAAUGUCCCUUAUACACAAUACUGACAUUUCCAUCCGAAAGCUUAAGGGAAUGAACAGUCAGUUAUCAAGCGAAAGCUCAAAUUAACAUUCCAAGGAAACCCCAGAAGACAAUGCAAAACCAAAACAUACGUCUUAAGCAAAAAUACAGUAAAACGCAGAAUUUCUCAAGCAAAAAGCCCUUAGCAUUAUAUGAACUCCAUCACCCAAAAGAGCAACCCUUACAACUGUCCUAGCUUGAAACACAUUUCUGCUAUCUCACAUUCUUUCUUCUCCCCAACUUGAUAAUUUCUUUACCUUUCACCUCAUGGGCAAAAAGAAAAAAAGACACAAAAUAAAACAAUAAUCAACCUGCAUGUACGCAUAUAACAGAGAAAAUCCUAUAGGUCAAGACCCUUUGUCUUUUUUGGGGAAUCAUCUAGUGUCCCAGAUUAAAAUAACACAAAGGAGCAAAAAAUGCAGAUGAAAAAAUGGGCUAAUGGCCAAGCAGAAAAAUCCUCACUUGGGUAAAAGCUAUGAGAAAUUGUAAUCAUCGCUGACAAAUGAGCACCGCAACAAUAGCUAUCCGUAUGUGAAUAAAAAGGUGAAAAAUGAACAAAAACUUACUGGGAUGCGACGAUCUCGAGGAAAAACUGAAAAAAGAGAAGAGAGAUCAGAAGAGAAAGCAACUCUCUUCGUCUCUUCUCUCCUCCCCUCUCUCCCUCUCUCUGUCGCUGUCGUAUGCGAACCGGGAGAGAUUUUUAUUUUUGCGGAAUUAUUUAGUCGAGGGAUUAAUUGUAGAAGCUCCGGACGGCGUCGUUAAGUGAUGUUUUCACAGUGUUGUCAUUUGCUAACGAUGUCGUUUGGUCCGUGUGAAGUCAACGAUGGUAAAAGAGCGGUGAAUCAGGGGUCCGGUCCUGCCCGCUGCCCACCUGGGCCCAUGAUGACUUUAUGAGCCAGUAGUUACUCCGUUUGGUAUAGUUAAAGGAUUUCACUAAUCUCUAAUUUAUUUCUGUCUUUGAUAAGAAUUUUUUACUAACGUUAGAUACGUUGAAUAUGUACCAGAAUUGGAAGCUACCCAUUUAUAUUACUAUUUUUAAGAUUUUUUUUAAAAAAAAAUUGUAGUAUAACAAUUUAAUAUAUGUGAGAAUCAAAAAAAUGAUCAAGAAAUAUAUUAGUAAAAAAUGUAAAAUUUUUUCUGCAAAAAACUAUAAUCCAAACGAGGAUUAAUAGAAAAAUUUAGCCAAAAAAAAAAAAGAAAAUAAUUUUAGGGCCUCAAAAUCCCCCUGAUUACUUUGGAAUUGUUACUUCUUUGAUGCUUAACAAACAUGAUGCUUUUGGUUAACUUCUUGGAAAAAUUUUACACUAAAUAAAAGCUAGGCUUUGCAUUAAGUAGAUUACCAAAAACUACUAGGUAGGGAAGUCUUCUUGUGCGCUAGUCUUACUGGUCUCAACAGAUGAAGUUGCAACUACUGCAAAGAUUAUUAGACUUGCAAAUUGAAAAAACCAAGAAACAGAUAACCAAAAGGUUGGGGAGGAAAGUUGCACGAUAUAUUACAAGUUACCAUUGAAGAUUGGCUUAGAUGGAAGAUCUGUCGGAAAAAUCCCAGAGAUGGAAAAUGAAUCCAAUUUGUAGUUUAGCUUAAGGGGGGAAGCAUCUCCUAUAAUCCAUUUCUUCCUUGUUUAUGAUCACAAGUUUCAAACCUUGCCAGGUUGUCUGAAUUAAGAGAUUCUUUGGACCAUCUACCUGAUUGAUUGAUUUUAGUUGCCUCCUUUUCGAUCAUUACCAAAAGAAGAUAAGGCUGGAAGUGAAGAGAAACGAAACAUCAAGCUAGCUAAAUAGGAUAGCUAGCAUGCAGCUGUGCAGCGUCAAGGCCCUUCAUCACUACACAAAUUCUAAAUCUGGAAGAUGCAUGGAAAAUACUACAAAUUUAGUAAAACAAUUACAACAACAGGCCAUCUGCUUCACAAAUCGCAUUUACACACAUACAUUACACAUCACACCAAUUGAUUUUACUUUGGUUUCAAUACACUCAUGAGAAUUGCAAAGAAAAACACGCACACAUAAUAAACAUAUAUGACACCACCAUCAAACUUGAAAGAUAAAAAUCCAAGGACAAAAGCUGGCAUGCUUGCUACUAUAAACAGAUGGCUUUGAUCAGGUGAUAUAUAACUGGCUGAAAUCAUCAGUUUUUCCCCAAGAAACCUCCAGCCAUCUUCAGUAAAUCUCCUCCAUCAGUUUUGCUGCCUUCAGAAUCAGAUGGUUUGCUCAAGUAUCCCUCAGCCAAUUUAGCAUACUGCCCAAUCCCUCCAGAUUCUCCUUUCUCACCUUCAGCUGAUUCUCCCUCUUUCUUCAAGAAUCCCCCAGCAGCCUUAGCAUAGUCUCCUAACCCACCCGUCUUCUCCUCUGAAUCAGUGGUGGGCUUUGCUGACUCACUCGGCUCUUCUUCCUUUUUAGGCUCUUCAGUAGUAGUGCGCGCGGGAGCUGAUUCACUAGCCGGCUCUUCAACUUCUUCUUUCUCAGCUGUAGGCUUAGGCUCUUCAGAAGUAACUGGCUCUUUAGUUUCUUCUUUCUCAGGUGUAGCUUUAGGCUCUUCUUCUAGUUUCUCAGCCUUAGGCUCGUCAGAAGUGGGCUUGGCUGAUUCAACCGGCUCUUCUUCUUUCUCAGAUGAGGGUUUAGGUUGUUCAGAAGCUUUUGGCUUUGUAGAAUGAGAAGUUUCAUAUUCAUGAAGAUAAUUCCCAGCUUUGUCAACGUAGCUUCCAACUCCACUAGUCUUGUCAAGCUUCCCAUAAUUUUGGGCAGCAUCAAGAAGAUCAGCAGCUGCCCCAGCAACCUCAGCAUUAUCAUGUUUUUUCUCUGCAGGUUCAUUCUGAACGGUGGAUCUUGCUGCAUCAGCCACCACCUUAGCACUUGAAAGCAGACUGCUGUUUUCUUCGGAUGCUGGGGCUGAUUUGUCAGUAGUUUCAGCCUUGGUUUGGGGGGUGGCCGAGUCAGUAAAUUUCUUCAAAAAAUCCAUCUUGGGAUGGCUUGUUUUUCGGGUGAUGGUGCACAGAAGAUGAGCUUAAUUUGCCCAAAAAGGGAGAGUUGGCUUUUUUU